GCGCCGUUACCUCAGCUGGAUAGAGGGCCUGACUACGAAUCAGGACGCCAGGGGUUCGAAUCCCUUACGGCGCACCA
rnacentral:tRNA from 1 species